rnacentral:rRNA from 1 species
GACGAACGCUGGCGGCGUGCCUAAUACAUGCAAGUUGAGCGCUGAAGGUUGGUACUUGUACCAACUGGAUGAGCAGCGAACGGGUGAGUAACGCGUGGGGAAUCUGCCUUUGAGCGGGGGACAACAUUUGGAAACGAAUGCUAAUACCGCAUAAAAACUUUAAACACAAGUUUUAAGUUUGAAAGAUGCAAUUGCAUCACUCAAAGAUGAUCCCGCGUUGUAUUAGCUAGUUGGUGAGGUAAAGGCUCACCAAGGCGAUGAUACAUAGCCGACCUGAGAGGGUGAUCGGCCAAAUUGGGACUGAGACACGGCCCAAACUCCUACGGGAGGCAGCAGUAGGGAAUCUUCGGCAAUGGACGAAAGUCUGACCGAGCAACGCCGCGUGAGUGAAGAAGGUUUUCGGAUCGUAAAACUCUGUUGGUAGAGAAGAACGUUGGUGAGAGUGGAAAGCUCAUCAAGUGACGGUAACUACCCGGAAAGGGACGGCUAACUACGUG